ensembl:lncRNA
CAAUUCUGCAAAGUUUUAUGAUUUUAGCAGCUUUUCUAAUAUGGACCUCAGAUUCUUGGUAACGCUCCAUGGCAGAAACAAGUACACAGCCUGAUGAAGCAGACAGAGGCAGUACCUCUGACUGGUGAAUUUGAGCAGAACCAGGUUGUUCUUUCAUUUCAUUUCUUUAUUUAUUUCACACAUGGUUCAACAGUGUUUCUUUUUCUACAUACAGAACCUUCUGCCUCUUUUCAGCAGAAAUUCUGCUCAUUCACCUCAUCUCUUGUGUUGGAGUGCCCUCUUGUGGCGCCUUUUGGGUAGUGCCUUAGUAAACGUGAACACUGCAAAGAAGUGGUAUCAGACUGGUUUGUAGUGGAGGAAUUUGUUGCCAGUUUCUUUCAUGUUUAAUCCGUAUUCAUGUUGUAAUGUAGUAACUUUUGUGGCACAAAUACCACAAUAUGGCAGAAACACUAUGUUUUGGCACAAAUACUUUGAUUUGGUAUACUUUACCUUCUUCACCCCUUUUCAGCAAAAUUUUCCUUUUUUUCACCCCUUUUCAGCACAAAUUCCAUUUUUUGGGGCUGUUUUCAGAAAAAAAAACUCUUUUCAGCAGAAACUCUGCUGAUUCAUCUCUUUUCAGCGCACGUUUCUGCUCCUUUGCCUCUUUUCUGCAGAAAUUCUUCUGAUUCACCUCUUUUCUGCAAAAUUUUAAGCCUUUUCACCUCUUAUCAGCACAAUUCUCAGCAGCUUCUGCUCAUUUCAGCAGAAUUGUCAGUCUGUCCACCUCUUCUCUGUGAGAAUGUGUUUGGGUCAGUGAGAUGAGUAGCUGCUUUGAGUCUGGUAGGGCCAGGUUCGAAUCCUGCUCAGGGCAACAUUUUUUUUUCACCACCAUACAACUUUUUGCAACUUUUCAUCUUUUUCAGCUUUUCAGCAGACAGCUUCAGCGUUAAGGCAUCCACACAGCAUUUUCGCAGGAAAUGCAAAUUUUUCUAGUUCUUUAUUGUGUGGAUGCUGGAGGCAUCCACACUAUUGAGUUCCUGUUUCUCUUUAUUGUGUGGAUGCCCUCAAAGGGCUUCCACACUAUUGAGUUCCUGUUUCUCUUUAUUCUUUAUACUUUAUUCUUCAAGUUGCUCCAUUCUUUGUCCGUUAACUACUUCCACAAUUCUUGUGCGAUUUUCACCAUUCAAAUUUCACAAUAUUCUGCUCUUUCUGCUUAUUCCUGCUAUAUCUUUUUGUACUUUUAGCUAUUAUACUUUUUAAAAUAUUAAGCUUUUUAUGCAAAUUUUUUUCCCAUUGAAAUGAAUGGAAAACUUCCACAAUUCUGCUAAAACUUGCUUGUUUUUGAAACUUAACUACUUCCUCAUACUUUCACCUAGAAACUCCAUUCAAACUUUAAAAUGUUCUCAAAUUAUUGGGCUAUUCCUGUCUGAUUCAGCUCUUUCAGACCUUCUACCCUUUUAAUCUUAUCCCUCUUUAAGUUUUCAGUUGCAAAAUUGUGAUUUUUCAGAAAAUACAUGCGUUGCUAUGGUUGCUAUGCAAUUAACUCAGAGUGAGUGCUGGUCCGUUCUGAAUUUUCUCUUCAUGUCUAAACAACUUCUUGCUACUCGCUCAAUUUCCACUCAACUCCCACAAAUUAUACAUCAAAACGUAGAUAUUUUUGUUACAGAUUGUUACAGAAGUUACAGAUUUUUAUCAAAUCGCCUCAGACCAACACAAAGUCUGAAAACUCUCCAUAGAAAGUGAAUGGAGAGUCUGUUCAAAAUCAGCGCUGGGACUCUCUAAUGAGAGGCAUUUUCGAAUCGUCAUAUCUCCUUAACGAAACAAAGUUGAGACAUGAGGCUUGUGCCAAUAUAUCUUC